AUCGCUUCUCAGCCUUUUGGCUAAGAUCAAGUGUAGUUUCUCAUUCUAUCAGUAUAUUGUGGAUUCUUAAUCAUAUAUAGUAUAUAUAUCGAGUGUCCCAAAAAAUGUAUGCACACACUUU
rnacentral:snRNA from 1 species